CCCCACUGCUAUCGGGAUGGGACUAAGACAUGCUAGUCGAGCGUCUCCAAGCUAUGGAAGAGACGCGGCACACAGCUCAGUAACACGUGGCUAACCUGCCCUUGGGACAAGGACAACUCCGGGAAACUGGGGCUAAUCCCUGAUAAGUGAGAACUCCUGGAAUGGAUUCUCGCUCAAAGGACGCUUAGACCAUGCUUCUAGGCGUCGCCCAAGGAUGGGGCCGCGUCCGAUCAGGUUGUUGGUGGGGUAACGGCUCACCAAGCCUAUAACCGGUACGGGCCGUGAGAGCGGGAGCCCGGAGAUGGGCACUGAGACAAGGGCCCAGGCCCUACGGGGCGCAGCAGUCGCGAAAACUCCGCAAUGCGCGAAAGCGUGACGGGGCUACCCCGAGUGCCGUCCGCUGAGGAUGGCUUUUCCCCGGUGUAAUGAGCCGGGGGAAUAAGGAGAGGGCAAGUCUGGUGUCAGCCGCCGCGGUAAUACCAGCUCUCCGAGUGGUAGGGACGAUUAUUGGGCUUAAAGCGUCCGUAGCCGGCUUAGCAAGUCUUCUGUUAAAUUCAGCGACCUAAUCGUUGAGCCGCGGGAGAUACUACUAGGCUAGGAGGCGGGAGAGGCCGACGGUAUUCUCGGGGUAGGGGUGAAAUCCUAUAAUCCCGGGAGGACCACCAGUGGCGAAGGCUGUCGGCUAGAACGCGCUCGACGGUGAGGGACGAAAGCUGGGGGAGCGAACCGGAUUAGAUACCCGGGUAGUCCCAGCUGUAAACGAUGCGGGCUAGGUGUUGGGGUGGCUACGAGCCACUUCAGUGCCGCAGGGAAGCCAUUAAGCCCGCCGCCUGGGGAGUACGGCCGCAAGGCUGAAACUUAAAGGAAUUGGCGGGGGAGCACCACAAGGCGUGAAGCUUGCGGUUC
rnacentral:rRNA from 1 species